rnacentral:rRNA from 1 species
AAAACUUUCAACAACGGAUCUCUUGGCUCUGGCAUCGAUGAAGAACGCAGCGAAAUGCGAUAAGUAAUGUGAAUUGCANAAUUCAGUGAAUCAUCGAAUCUUUGAACGCACAUUGCGCCCCUUGGUAUUCCGAGGGGCAUGCCUAUUCNAGCGUCAU